UAAUUUGUCCUUUCGAUACCCCCGCCAUCCACCCGCCGGCAUUCACUCCGCCGCCACCCGCCGGCAUUCACUCCGCCCGCAGCACACCAUGGUCGAGGUCGCCGCCUCCUCCUCUCCCCAACGCAUUCCCAUCCAAUCUCCCCCUCUCCCCCUCCCAUCCUCUCUAGUCCCACAGCGAGGAAUAGCUAAGUCGGUGGGGCGGCUCGGCGGCCACCUGCAGCAGACGUAGCCAGCCACCAGCCGCGGCCCUCGCGGAUGCAGGCGUCCACGUUGUAGCGCCGGUCGCCCAUCUUGGGCCCCGCAUCACCGCCGGCGAGCGCGUCCGAGUGCCCCGGGUGUCUGCAUCUCCCGCUGACCCUCCUCCUCCGCCCUUUUCUCCAUCUCGAAUGGAUUGCAGUAGCUGCAGGGACAGCCUCCUCCGAUGGCAGAAGGGGAUGAGGGGAGGACAUCCUCGAGCUCGCCCAGCCCCAGCUCGACGGAGGCACCCUCCAUGACGCCGCCCCGCAAAAGAUUGAUCAGACAUAUUCUUGAGCACCUAUGCGAGAGAGAUUGAACAGGAGACGCUUUGCAUCUUGCCGUGAAGUGGCGACCACAGUGGCGCUCUUGUUGGCGCUGAAGUCGGACAGUGACCAACGUCACCGCAACGCCAUGUGCACUCCUUCUCGGUCCUCCCUGCCCUCGGACCAAGAGCUGAGAGGCAUUUGGUGCGUCGCCGCCCUGAUCUAGCUGAUGAACCAAGGUUGCUAGCUGCUGCUACUACUGCAUGUCUUCGUUUUGUUUGUUCUGUCAUAGUGAGACAGAGAGAGGAGAUGCGCGCCUCACUGGAAGGUGACAACCAUGUACAACACAACUCUUGCCAACGAACAGCGACACCUCCACGCUAUGUUCCCUGUUGCCCUACUCGGCCCUCCCCGCCGCUUGGAUAGAGAGGUUGAUGGCCCGCACCUCCAUCAGCAACUCCUAUGUUUGUUCACUGUUCGUGCCACCUGGAGCAAGGAGUGGGCUGGAGUAGGGUAUGGACGUGGAUGAUGAUCCAGAAGGGGUGGAGGAGAAUGAGCUAGACAAUCUCGAUGAGGAAUUCGUCCAUCCCCAUCUCGAGCUCGAGGGAGAUGUUGAUGAUUGCAUGCAAAAGGAUUUAUCAAACGGGGACAUUCUAUUGUGGAAGGGCCAGUAUGAACACCGGUUGCUAGAAUGCUGCCUCUACUACGAGCUACAAGGCCAGAGAUAGUACCAGCGGGGCCUGCGACCUC